AGCGAACGCUGGCGGCAGGCUUAACACAUGCAAGUCGAACGGGCAUCUUCGGAUGUCAGUGGCAGACGGGUGAGUAACACGUGGGAACGUACCCUUCGGUUCGGAAUCACUCAGGGAAACUUGAGCUAAUACCGGCUACGCCCUUUUGGGGUAAGGUUUACUGCCGAAGGAUCGGCCCGCGUCUGAUUAGCUUGUUGGUGGGGUAACGGCCUACCAAGGCGCCGAUCAGUAGCUGGUCUGAGAGGAUGAUCAGCCACACUGGGACUGAGACGCAGCCCAGACUCCUACGGGAGGCAGCAGUGGGGAAUAUUGGACAAUGGGCGCAAGCCUGAUCCAGCCAUGCCGCGUGAGUGAUGAAGGCCUUAGGGUUGUAAAGCUCUUUUGUCCGGGACGAUAAUGACGGUACCGGAAGAAUAAGCCCCGGCUAACUUCGUG
rnacentral:rRNA from 1 species